rnacentral:rRNA from 1 species
UACGUAGGGUGCGGAGCGUUGUCCGGAUUUAUUGGGCGUAAAGAGCUCGUAGGCGGUUUGUCGCGUCGGCCGUGAAAGUCUCCACGCUUAACGUGGAGCGUGCGGUCGAUACGGGCAGACUUGAGUUCGGUAGGGGAGACUGGAAUUCCUGGUGUAGCGGUGAAAUGCGCAGAUAUCAGGAGGAACACCAGCGGCGAAAGGCGGCGCUCUGGGCCGGAACUGACGCUGAGGAGCGAAAGCGUGGGGAGCAAACGGG